UGAAAAGGAGGUGUCAGAAACUGGGCUAUG
rnacentral:piRNA from 1 species